rnacentral:rRNA from 1 species
UACGUAGGGUGCAAGCGUUAAUCGGAAUUACUGGGCGUAAAGGGUGCGCAGGCGGAUUAGCAAGUUAGAUGUGAAAUACCUAGGCUUAACCUGGGAGAGUCAUUUAAUACUGCUUAUCUAGAGUUUAUCAGAGGGAGGUAGAAUUCCGAGUGUAGCAGUGAAAUGCGUAGAUAUUCGGAGGAAUACCAAUGGCGAAGGCAGCCUCCUGGGAUAAAACUGACGCUCAGGCACGAAAGCGUGGGGAGCAAAC